CCUUCAUCUGGCUGAUGCGGGUGAGCAGCCCCGAGACGAAGUUCGGGGACUCGUCGGUGGACAGGUGGGCGGCGAGGUUCACGGCCUCGCUGAUGGCC
rnacentral:tRNA from 1 species